rfam:Aedes aegypti strain Liverpool supercont1.8 genomic scaffold, whole genome shotgun sequence.
GGCUCGGUAGCUUAGUUGGUAAAGCACUCGUCCAGCACACAAGAGUCCUGGGUUCAAAUCCCAGCCGAGCAC